rnacentral:tRNA from 1 species
UAGCUUACACCUCAAAGCAAUUCGCUUACACCGAAUAAACGUCCACCAACCAGGGCUACUCUAA